rnacentral:lncRNA from 1 species
GUCAGUGCCUAAGCAGAUCUGACUCAUUGGAGACACUUAUCCCCCUUUGUUUAUGGUGGAGGAAGUCUCUUGCUCUCUUGAAAGCUCUGUGUGUCUGUGAAUAAGCAGUGUGAAUGCAUUUUCCCCCUCUUUAGUAGCUACUCUCUAGCUACUCUCUGUAUGAGAGGCCUUGAAGUUUGUUUGCUGGAUCAGGGCUACAAAAUAGCCGAGGUUCACAUCCCAGUACUAUCCCAAGGAGGAUCAGCAGGCCCACAACCACUGUUUGAAGGAGGAGAGCUCAUUUAGAGCUCAGAAAAUGGACAUAUAAAAGAUGACAAAAUGGACCCUGCAGUUGGACCAGAAUCCAACCAGUAGAGUAUCGAGACUGGCAGGGGAGGGUGUGUGUGGAGUGAAGAAAGAAGAAAUAGCCAUUGUGGAAAUUCAGUCAAAUGGAAUGGAACUGAAGAUUUUUGGUUUCUUUUCCUUUUGCUACCAAAAAACCACCCCAAACCAAAACAUCCUAAGGGGAGGAAGGCAGCUAGUGAAGAAGUCUAAAAAGCCUGUGUUGGAAGGUUAUUUCUUCUGAUUCAGCAGUUAAGAAUGAGUGUCACAAAAACUAAGGUGCCACAGAGGAAUAGCAGUUGCAGCAUUUUCUGUCUGGAGUAUCUGUAAUCAUUGACACAGGAAUGCUGAUUCAAGAAGUUUGCAAAGAAAGACACUGAAGUUGAUAAAGGCUGGAACAAAAUGGUUUUGUUUGUGCUAAAUAACUGAAAUUACAAUCAAAUAAAGAUUUGAAGAAAACCUAGAGAAAGAUCA